CAUCUCUUUGCCGGUAAAGGAAGCAGCCGCACCUCAGAGCAGGAUUUGAAACCCUAAUCACGUGUCCGGACCAACUUUUGCGCACCUCGACUAAUUUCAAGGGAUACCUGCCACCUCCCACCAGCAAGAGGGACCAGGGAUUUGAACAAUGGUUUCCAGAAUGACCUAAAUGAAUUCCAAAAGGCAAGAAGGAUAAAUGAUGAAUUUUCUGCAUUCCUUCAUGAGUUUAUGAUGAAUAAGGAUAGAAUUGAAGCAAUUGGAUGAUUGAGAAAAAUCCAGUCUUUUAUCGAAAAUUAGAGACACGUCUCUGGUCUAUCAAUUUCUCUGUAAAAUUGAUCAAUUGUAACUUAUGCUUAGCUUUGCUGUGAUUUUUUGCAUGA